AACGAACGCUGGCGGCAUGCCUAACACAUGCAAGUCGAACGAAGGCUUCGGCCUUAGUGGCGCACGGGUGCGUAACGCGUGGGAAUCUGCCCUUUGGUUCGGAAUAACAGCUGGAAACGGCUGCUAAUACCGGAUGAUGACGAAAGUCCAAAGAUUUAUCGCCAGAGGAUGAGCCCGCGUUGGAUUAGGUAGUUGGUGGGGUAAAGGCCUACCAAGCCGACGAUCCAUAGCUGGUCUGAGAGGAUGAUCAGCCACACUGGGAAUGAGACACGGCCCAGACUCCUACGGGAGGCAGCAGUGGGGAAUACUGGACAAUGGGCGCAAGCCUGAUCCAGCAAUGCCGCGUGAGUGAUGAAGGCCGUAGGGUAGUAAAGCUCUUUUACCCGGGAAGAUAAUGACGGUACCGGGAGAAUAAGCCCCGGCUAACUCCGUG
rnacentral:rRNA from 1 species